GUGCCAGCCGCCGCGGUAAUACGGAGGAUCCGAGCGUUAUCCGGAUUUAUUGGGUUUAAAGGGUGCGUAGGUGGUUUGAUAAGUCAGCGGUGAAAGUUUGCAGCUUAACUGUAAAAAUGCCGUUGAAACUGUCGGACUUGAGUGUAAAUGAGGUAGGCGGAAUGCGUGGUGUAGCGGUGAAAUGCAUAGAUAUCACGCAGAACUCCGAUUGCGAAGGCAGCUUACUAAGCUACAACUGACACUGAAGCACGAAAGCGUGGGGAUCAAACAGGAUUAGAUACCCUGGUAGUCCACGCCGUAAACGAUGAUUACUAGUUGUUUGCGAUAUACCGUAAGUGACUAAGCGAAAGCGAUAAGUAAUCCACCUGGGGAGUACGCCGGCAACGGUGAAACUCAAAGGAAUUGACGGGGGCCCGCACAAGCAGCGGAGCAUGUGGUUUAAUUCGACGCAACGCGAAGAACCUUACCAAGGCUUGACAUCCUGCUAAGCUCAUGGAAACAUGAGGUCCCUUCGGGGGAGCAGAGACAGGUGGUGCAUGGUUGUCGUCAGCUCGUGUCGUGAGAUGUUGGGUUAAGUCCCGCAACGAGCGCAACCCUUGCUUCUAGUUGCCAUCAUUAAGUUGGGCACUCUAGAGGGACUGCCGAUGAUAAAUCGGAGGAAGGUGGGGAUGACGUCAAAUCAUCAUGCCCUUUAUGUCCUGGGCUACACACGUGCUACAAUGGUCGGUACAACGAGCAGCUACCUAGUGAUAGGAUGCAAAUCUCUAAAAGCCGAUCCCAGUUCGGAUUGCAGGCUGCAACUCGCCUGCAUGAAGUCGGAGUUGCUAGUAAUCGCGAAUCAGAAUGUCGCGGUGAAUACGUUCCCGGGUCUUGUACACACCGCCCGUCACACCAUGGGAGUGGGUUUUACCAGAAGUAGUUAGCCUAACCGCAAGGGGGGCGAUUACCACGGUAGGAUUCAUGACUGGGGUGAAGUCGUAACAAGGUAACC
rnacentral:rRNA from 1 species